rnacentral:tRNA from 1 species
GCUUGGGUGGCUCAGUUGGUUAAGUGCCUGCCUUCCACUCAGGUCAUAAUCCCAGGGUCCUGGGAUCGAGCCCCAGCCCCUGCU